GAUUAUUUAUGUCUCUAUGUGUAUUUGUCUAGGAGGCUCUUCUCACGAUUAGUGAGAAGAGCCAUU